rnacentral:tRNA from 1 species
GUAGUGGUGGUUCGGUGGGAGAAUUCUGCCCUUCCAUCCUGGAAACCCAGGUUCAAUUCCUGGCCAAUGCA